rnacentral:lncRNA from 1 species
GCGGACACGCGCCUGCCGCCCCGCCCCGCCCUGACCAGCGCGGGGGCCUCCGCCCCAUCCCCCGCCCGCGCGGUCCCCGUAGCGCGGCUUUCGCCGUUCCCCGCCCCCUCGCCUUUGGGGCUGCCUUCGUCACUGCCUGACCCGAGGUCCAGCAGCUUCUGCUUUCCUGGUCCCCACCAACAGAAAGUAGCAGCUCACCCUGGGGGUAGCCUAGCGGCUUCAGCUACUAGCAGAGCGGCGGCGGCGGCCCCCCCUCAGGAGACAACCAGAUCACCCCUUCCCACGGCCUCGCUAUGGCGACCUACGGGCAGAGCUGCGCGCGGCGUAAGUAGAGCAGGGAUUUGUGCUGAAUGGGGUUGGGUGACCGGCGAGAUGGAAUCUGUAGACCAGAAAACCGCAGCUUCUCCCAUCCCAUCUCUCCAAAGACUUGGAAAUUCGGUCCCUUCCGGUAGCCACUCUACAGCGUGAUCACCCGGGCUCUGCGGAGGAGGGACUGCUGGAUUCUCGAGUGGAGGGUCUAGGCCGCGGGAAUUGGUCUCUGGUCCUAUUCACCUCCAGCUAUUGGAUGUGUCUUUGGCCAGCAAAAAAAAGCAGAGAGUCAUUAAUUGUGGGAUUCCACCUUUCAAGGAUUGGAUUGCUCACCGUUUAGAGGAAGUAGUCUUCUUGAGUGUGCAAGGUCAUUCAUUACAUGUGCUCCUGAGGGCGUGGACAU